UUCUCCUUCGGGGACAUCCGAUAAAAUUGGAACGAUACAUAGAAGAUUAGCAUGGCCCCUGCGCAAGGAUGACACUAUUUUGUUUUUUUUCCUUCCCUUUUUC
rnacentral:snRNA from 1 species